rfam:Triticum aestivum genome assembly, contig: Triticum_aestivum_CS42_TGACv1_scaffold_623323_7DS
GAUAUACUCCCUCCGUUCCAAAAUUCUUGUUUUAGAUUUAUCUAGAUACGGAUGUAUCUAACACUAAAACGUGAAUAGAUACAUCUCUAUGUAGACAAAUCUAAUACAAGAAUUUUAGGACGGAGGGAGUACUUG